AGGGAAUCUUGCGCAAUGGGCGAAAGCCUGACGCAGCGACGCCGCGUGAGGGAAGAAGGCCUUCGGGUCGUAAACCUCUGUCCUUGGGGACGAUGAUGACGGUACCCAAGGAGGAAGCCCCGGCUAACUACGUGCCAGCAGCCGCGGUAAUACGUAGGGGGCGAGCGUUGUCCGGAAUCACUGGGCGUAAAGGGUGCGUAGGCGGCUUGGCAAGUCCUGUGUGAAAGGUCGCGGCUCAACCGCAGUGGGUCAUGGGAAACUGCCAAGCUCGAGUGUCGGAGAGGGUAGUGGAAUUCCCAGUGUAGCGGUGAAAUGCGUAGAGAUCGGGAGGAACACCAGUGGCGAAGGCGGCUAUCUGGAAGGUCACUGACGCUGAGGCACGACAGCUGGGGGAGCAAACA
rnacentral:rRNA from 1 species